rnacentral:piRNA from 1 species
UAUGGAUUUUCUGUUUGAAUG